CUAAUUAGUAAUGCUUAUAAAGAAUGUGUUGUAGACUGUUGAUACUUGAUUUAUUUUUAGUAGUAUAUGUACUUAAAUAUACUUAACCAAUAUGAUUUAGAAUCCUUAACAUUUAGUUUUUUUUGUUGGUAAGAUAUAUCCAAUUCUAAUGAAACUUUGCAUGUAACAACAAUUUUGAUUGGAUGCUGUCUGCAACCAAUUCCACAGUUGACUGUAUGAAUCAUGGGCACAAAUUCUCCUCAAUCGCAGUCAUAUUAUGGAAAAUUAGAAAUGUAUAACUUUGAACUUAAUAAGGGUUUUUAUUCGGGCGCACUACGUUUGCGCACAUUUGAGGAUUAAAAUGUUUUAGAUUUGCUCGCAGCUUUUGAUGACAUUUGCACGCAUUUAUUUUACAGGUAAAGUCAGGUAAAAAUAUAAUAAAAAAUAAAAUAAAUUAUAA
rnacentral:lncRNA from 1 species